UGAUCGCAUCGGACAUUGCGGGCCCGAUAGGAAACGCCUUAAGGGACGGGACUAACAGGUCCAAGUGAACAGGUCAGAAACGGCUGAUUCUGACCGCAAAAGAGGCAGCACAGAGCAUAUUCCCUGUCACUCAUCGAGGCGGGGCAGGAAAUAAGUCCCAUCAUCUCAGAGGAACCGGAAUUGGUUGUCUCAAGCCGGAAGUUGACAAUUUCUGGUCCCUCCCAGAACGGAAGUGAACCCCCCAGACCGGAAAUGUGCGAUCCUUUCAACAUGGAGCUGGUUCCACUCACCAGGCUGCUGCAGGGGAAGAGGGUGGUGCUGGCGAGCAGCUCCCCCAGGAGGCGGGACAUCCUGUCCUCCAUGGGACUGCAGUUCGAGGUCGUACCCUCCCACUUCCAGGAGUCCCUGGAGAAGGCGAGAUUUCCGGCUCCGCCCGAAUAUGCCCGGGAGACAGCAAAGCUGAAGGCUCUGGAGGUGGCGUCGCGGCUG